rnacentral:rRNA from 1 species
GCGCAUCUGUGCAUGCAGCAUAUCAAUAAGCGGAGGAAAAGAAACUAACAAGGAUUCCCUUAGUAACGGCGAGUGAAGCGGGAAGAGCUCAAAUUUGAAAUCUUCAAGGUUUUACCUUGACGAAUUGUAGUUUAAAGAAGUGUUUUCUGUUGAAGUUUUGGUAAAAGUUCUUUGGAAUAGGACAUCAUAGAGGGUGAGAAUCCCGUAUUUGACCAUUAUUUUCAGCUGUGUGAUACACUUUCAAAGAGUCGGAUUGUUUGGGAAUGCAGUCCAAAAUGGGUGGUAAAUUUCAUCUAAAGCUAAAUAUUGGCGAGAGACCGAUAGCGAACAAGUACCGUGAGGGAAAGAUGAAAAGAACUUUGAAAAGAGAGUUAAACAGUACGUGAAAUUGUCAAAAGGGAAGCGUUUGACACCAGUGUUGUUUUCUCGAAAAUCAAUUAAAAAGAGUUUGAUUUUGUUGUGUAUUGACCUUAACAGCUUGCAUUUCAAUUUUCUUGCUUUUUUUAAUGCACUUUUCGUUUAACAAGUCAACAUCAGUUUCUUUUGUUGUAAAAAGGUCAUUGGAAGGUGGCUUUCUUUUCGGAGAAAGUGUUUAUAGCCUUUGACUCCUGCAAUCGGAGAGACUGAGGUCUGCAGCGUAGAUCCUUCGGGGUUAGAUACAUUUGUGCUAAGCUAUAGCUUUUCAUAGACAACUUGUUGACUAUGAUUAGUCUUGUAGCUUACUCGCUUAUGCUAUAUUACCUACGCUUAGGAUGUUGACGCGCGUGUGUGCGUG